GACCCGUUCGUCUAGCGGUCCAGGACUCCGCCCUUUCACGGCGGCAACACGGGUUCGAGUCCCGUACGGGUCGCCA
rnacentral:tRNA from 1 species